rnacentral:rRNA from 1 species
AGUGAACGCUGGCGGUAGGCCUAACACAUGCAAGUCGAACGGCAGCACAGUAAGAGCUUGCUCUUACGGGUGGCGAGUGGCGGACGGGUGAGGAAUACAUCGGAAUCUACUUUUUCGUGGGGGAUAACGUAGGGAAACUUACGCUAAUACCGCAUACGACCUACGGGUGAAAGCAGGGGAUCUUCGGACCUUGCGCGAUUGAAUGAGCCGAUGUCGGAUUAGCUAGUUGGCGGGGUAAAGGCCCACCAAGGCGGCGAUCCGUAGCUGGUCUGAGAGGAUGAUCGGCCACACUGGAACUUAAACACGGUCCAGACUCCUACGGGAGGCAGCAGUGGGGAAUAUUGGACAAUGGGCGCAAGCCUGAUCCAGCCAUACCGCGUGGGUGAAGAAGGCCUUCGGGUUGUAAAGCCCUUUUGUUGGGAAAGAAAAGCAGCAGGUUAAUACCCCGCUGUUCUGACGGUACCCAAAGAAUAAGCACCGGCUAACUUCGUG